ACGGAAGGCAGCAGUAGGGAAUAUUGCACAAUGGGGGAAACCCUGAUGCAGCGACGCCGCGUGAGCGAUGAAGUAUUUCGGUAUGUAAAGCUCUAUCAGCAGGGAAGAUAAUGACGGUACCUGACUAAGAAGCCCCGGCUAACUACGUGCCAGCAGCCGCGGUAAUACGUAGGGGGCAAGCGUUAUCCGGAUUUACUGGGUGUAAAGGGAGUGUAGGUGGUUUGGCAAGCCAGAUGUGAAAGCCCGGGGCUCAACCCCGCGGACUGCAUUUGGAACUGUUAAACUUGAGUGCAGGAGAGGAAAGUGGAAUUCCUAGUGUAGCGGUGAAAUGCGUAGAUAUUAGGAGGAACACCAGUGGCGAAGGCGGCUUUCUGGACUGUAACUGACACUGAGGCGCGAAAGCUAGGGGAGCGAACAGGAUUAGAUACCCUGGUA
rnacentral:rRNA from 1 species